AGAGUUUGAUCAUGGCUCAGAUUGAACGCUGGCGGCAGGCCUAACACAUGCAAGUCGAACGGUAACAGGAAGCAGCUUGCUGCUUCGCUGACGAGUGGCGGACGGGUGAGUAAUGUCUGGGAAACUGCCUGAUGGAGGGGGAUAACUACUGGAAACGGUAGCUAAUACCGCAUAAUGUCGCAAGACCAAAGAGGGGGACCUUCGGGCCUCUUGCCAUCGGAUGUGCCCAGAUGGGAUUAGCUUGUUGGUGGGGUAACGGCUCACCAAGGCGACGAUCCCUAGCUGGUCUGAGAGGAUGACCAGCCACACUGGAACUGAGACACGGUCCAGACUCCUACGGGAGGCAGCAGUGGGGAAUAUUGCACAAUGGGCGCAAGCCUGAUGCAGCCAUGCCGCGUGUAUGAAGAAGGCCUUCGGGUUGUAAAGUACUUUCAGCGGGGAGGAAGGGAGUAAAGUUAAUACCUUUGCUCAUUGACGUUACCCGCAGAAGAAGCACCGGCUAACUCCGUGCCAGCAGCCGCGGUAAUACGGAGGGUGCAAGCGUUAAUCGGAAUUACUGGGCGUAAAGCGCACGCAGGCGGUUUGUUAAGUCAGAUGUGAAAUCCCCGGGCUCAACCUGGGAACUGCAUCUGAUACUGGCAAGCUUGAGUCUCGUAGAGGGGGGUAGAAUUCCAGGUGUAGCGGUGAAAUGCGUAGAGAUCUGGAGGAAUACCGGUGGCGAAGGCGGCCCCCUGGACGAAGACUGACGCUCAGGUGCGAAAGCGUGGGGAGCAAACAGGAUUAGAUACCCUGGUAGUCCACGCCGUAAACGAUGUCGACUUGGAGGUUGUGCCCUUGAGGCGUGGCUUCCGGAGCUAACGCGUUAAGUCGACCGCCUGGGGAGUACGGCCGCAAGGUUAAAACUCAAAUGAAUUGACGGGGGCCCGCACAAGCGGUGGAGCAUGUGGUUUAAUUCGAUGCAACGCGAAGAACCUUACCUGGUCUUGACAUCCACGGAAGUUUUCAGAGAUGAGAAUGUGCCUUCGGGAACCGUGAGACAGGUGCUGCAUGGCUGUCGUCAGCUCGUGUUGUGAAAUGUUGGGUUAAGUCCCGCAACGAGCGCAACCCUUAUCCUUUGUUGCCAGCGGUCCGGCCGGGAACUCAAAGGAGACUGCCAGUGAUAAACUGGAGGAAGGUGGGGAUGACGUCAAGUCAUCAUGGCCCUUACGACCAGGGCUACACACGUGCUACAAUGGCGCAUACAAGAGAAGCGACCUCGCGAGAGCAAGCGGACCUCAUAAAGUGCGUCGUAGUCCGGAUUGGAGUCUGCAACUCGACUCCAUGAAGUCGGAAUCGCUAGUAAUCGUGGAUCAGAAUGCCACGGUGAAUACGUUCCCGGGCCUUGUACACACCGCCCGUCACACCAUGGGAGUGGGUUGCAAAAGAAGUAGGUAGCUUAACCUUCGGGAGGGCGCUUACCACUUUGUGAUUCAUGACUGGGGUGAAGUCGUAACAAGGUAACCGUAGGGGAACCUGCGGUUGGAUCACCU
rnacentral:rRNA from 1 species